UACGUAGGGCGCAAGCGUUGUCCGGAAUUAUUGGGCGUAAAGAGCUCGUAGGCGGCUUGUCACGUCGGGUGUGAAAGCCCGGGGCUUAACCCCGGGUCUGCAUUCGAUACGGGCUGGCUAGAGUGUGGUAGGGGAGAUCGGAAUUCCUGGUGUAGCGGUGAAAUGCGCAGAUAUCAGGAGGAACACCGGUGGCGAAGGCGGCCUUCUGGACAGUGACUGACGCUGAGACACGAAAGCCAGGGGAGCGAACGGG
rnacentral:rRNA from 1 species